AGCCCUACAUCGGGGUGUCACUAGUCAUGAGCUACUGCAGAAUUCGCUAAAGAACUACAAGUCCAAAAAUGGGAACAAAGUCUGAAAUUAAUAUGAAUAAAAUAAAAUAAGGGAGAAGAUUCAGUGCCGCGAACACUAGCGGUCACUUGGCUCAGCUACGAUAACAAUUCUUCAAUCUGCUAAUAACCCGCUAUCGGACGAACAAUACCUGCAGCUGCACGCGAGGUGUUGGAAGUAAAGUGAGUACUUCCAACUCAGUGGUAAUAAGAGUAAAUAAUAAUUGAGCGAUAAUAAAUCACGUAAGAAACCUCAGGGGUUGGACCUAGUGGCAAUUGGCUUGAGCCUUGGGGUUUGAUCCCUUUCAAAGUCUCAAGUUCGAAACCCACUGGGUGCAAAUAAUUUCUUAGGGCCAUCGAACUGGUUAAAACCUGAAUUAACCGUGGUGCACUUGUGGGAAACUCCUUGCCGAGGGCCUGUGCACCCCCUGAUUAGUCGGGGAUAGAAGAGACUCGGACACCCGGUGCAAAUCAAAAAAAAA
rnacentral:lncRNA from 1 species